UACGGGGGGGGCAAGCGUUGUUCGGAAUUACUGGGCGUAAAGGGCGCGUAGGCGGCCUGCUAAGUCGGAUGUGAAAUCCCUCGGCUCAACCGAGGAACUGCAUCCGAUACUGGCGGGCUUGAAUCCGGGAGAGGGAUGUGGAAUUCCAGGUGUAGCGGUGAAAUGACGUAGAUAUCUGGAGGAACACCGGUGGCGAAGGCGGCAUCCUGGCCCGAUACUGACGCUGAGGCACGAAAGCGUGGGGAGCAAACAGG
rnacentral:rRNA from 1 species